GCUUGCUUUCCCUUUGCCUUCUGCCAUGAUUGUAAGUUUCCUAAGGUUUUCCAGCCAUGCUUCCUGUACAGCCUGCAGAACUGCUCUUUCCUUUAUAAAAUACCCAGUCUCAGAUCGUGUAGACUUCAAUUGGCAGAGUUACUCAGUAUUAUUUACUUGGAAAAUCCUCUGUAACCUAAAAGUCCUAGCUCUCCUGACACUAAGGAUGACAAUGGAACACUUAAAUGGUAGCUGCCUAUGAAGGGCUGUCCCUCUACCCCCUUGUUCCCUCUGAAUCUGA
rnacentral:lncRNA from 10 species